GUUCUGAGAGGAAGGUCCCCCACAUUGGAACUGAGACACGGUCCAAACUCCUACGGGAGGCAGCAGUGAGGAAUAUUGGUCAAUGGACGGGAGUCUGAACCAGCCAAGUAGCGUGAAGGAUGACUGCCCUAUGGGUUGUAAACUUCUUUUAUAUGGGAAUAAAGUUUUCCACGUGUGGAAUUUUGUAUGUACCAUAUGAAUAAGGAUCGGCUAACUCCGUGCCAGCAGCCGCGGUAAUACGGAGGAUCCGAGCGUUAUCCGGAUUUAUUGGGUUUAAAGGGAGCGUAGGUGGACAGUUAAGUCAGUUGUGAAAGUUUGCGGCUCAACCGUAAAAUUGCAGUUGAUACUGGCUGUCUUGAGUACAGUAGAGGUGGGCGGAAUUCGUGGUGUAGCGGUGAAAUGCUUAGAUAUCACGAAGAACUCCGAUUGCGAAGGCAGCUCACUGGACUGCAACUGACACUGAUGCUCGAAAGUGUGGGUAUCAAACAGGAUUAGAUACCCUGGUAGUCCACACAGUAAACGAUGAAUACUCGCUGUUUGCGAUAUACAGUAAGCGGCCAAGCGAAAGCAUUAAGUAUUCCACCUGGGGAGUACGCCGGCAACGGUGAAACUCAAAGGAAUUGACGGGGGCCCGCACAAGCGGAGGAACAUGUGGUUUAAUUCGAUGAUACGCGAGGAACCUUACCCGGGCUUAAAUUGCAUUUGAAUAUAUUGGAAACAGUAUAGCCGUAAGGCAAAUGUGAAGGUGCUGCAUGGUUGUCGUCAGCUCGUGCCGUGAGGUGUCGGCUUAAGUGCCAUAACGAGCGCAACCCUUAUCUUUAGUUACUAACAGGUCAUGCUGAGGACUCUAGAGAGACUGCCGUCGUAAGAUGUGAGGAAGGUGGGGAUGACGUCAAAUCAGCACGGCCCUUACGUCCGGGGCUACACACGUGUUACAAUGGGGGGUACAGAAGGCAGCUACCUGGUGACAGGAUGCUAAUCCCAAAAGCCUCUCUCAGUUCGGAUCGAAGUCUGCAACCCGACUUCGUGAAGCUGGAUUCGCUAGUAAUCGCGCAUCAGCCAUGGCGCGGUGAAUACGUUCCCGGGCCUUGUACACACCGCCCGUCAAGCCAUGAAAGCCGGGGGUACCUGAAGUACGUAACCGCAAGGAGCGUCCUANGGUAAAACUGGUAAUUG
rnacentral:rRNA from 1 species